GUAAGGGGGAACCGAUUGCUAACUCUCGGCCACUGUGAGAGUUCCGCUUACGUGUCCACUUUUCCUUCCUCCAUUGCUGUGUAUACAACUCUCCAAAACCUUCCCCCAGUAGAGAGGCUUGUUCCAGGGCACAGAUAUAAAAAUAUAAAUAUAUAUAUACAAGCAGCUACUCUCUCCCUCUGGAAAGUCCAGUCAAGAUUUCAGGGCCAUUGCAGGAGAGUGUAGGGCAGUCAGGCGUCUAGAACUGUAGGUCCAUCCAAAGGAGGUGCUUCAUGGUGGUCAGCCCUUGUUU
rnacentral:sRNA from 14 species